AUCGUAUGCACUGGGCGGCGCCAAUGGCACCCAGACCCCGUCCUGGUCCACUGCAUUCAGUCGUGUGAGCCUUUCCAAGCAGAUGGAUGGUGUGAUACCAUCAACAACCGGGCCUACUGCCACUAUGAUGGGGGAGACUGCUGCUCUUCCACGCUCUCCUCCAAGAAGGUCAUUCCAUUUGCUGCUGACUGUGACCUGGAUGAAUGCACCUGCCGAGACCCCAAGGCUGAAGAAAAUCAGUAACUGUGGGAUCAAGCCCCUCCUUCCACUGCCCUGGAGGCAGGAAGAAAGAGAGGCCUCCAUAACAGAAAACAAAAGGUGAAUGAAGAAGAAAUGUUGUGAAAUGAAGGAAGGAGGAAGAGCAUGAGGAUCUUAUAGACAUGCAGGAGAAUGUUUAUAGGUGCCAACUGUUGCAUCAAGUAGCCCAAGUAGGGAAGAAUCACAGGCAAAAGUUUCUUCAAAGAGGCAGUUGAUUAAAAGUGGAAGGAGAAAUAUGAUAGAUAUACAAGGACCCUCCUCCCCCAUUUAUAUUCUAUUCAACCCAUCCUCAACUCUUGCCCUACUCCCCGCUCUGCACCCCGCCAACUAUUCAGCCCCACCCAACUUGUAAACCAAUACUAGAAGAGAAGUUGCCAGGGACACUCUGUUAACACCCAUUUUGAAUGGAUUGCCAUCUUUCAGGGCUCAUCUACUCUAAACUGGCUCCCUUUCUUUCGUGUAGUCUCCUUUAGUAAUAAUGAGGUUAGUUAUUAAUUCUUUAUAGGUAUUUAAACAUAAUUAUAUAAAUCUAUUAUAUAUAUUAUAUUUUUUGCUGUCUACUAAGCUAAAAAUUAUACAUUGUUCCACAUAUUGCUGCUGUGAAGUUCACUUCCAAAAUGAAUCCUGAGGGUUUGAGGACAGCAAGAAAAGUUGUUCUGCCAUUUUUCUAUUGAUGGGGGUUGGCAGGUUGAAAGGGAAGUGGUGAAGGGGAGGGAGA